CAACAAAUGAGUCUUUUAAUAGCAUCCAAGCAUAGCAUAUUAAUGUUCAUGUUACAAUAAAUAGAAGGAAAAGACACGGGGGAAAACAAAAAUAAAAGCGCGUUAAACAAAGCCCAAAUGCCCUUUUUCAUUUUUUUCAAUCUUCCCCCGAAUUUCCUUCUCUCACAGAUCCCUCUCCCGAUUUUUCUCUUCUCGCAGACCCCUCCCUCAACGUGGCUACCACCUGAACGUCGCCACCGACUCACCGCACUCCUUGCUCAAUGGCUCACUGCUCAUCGAUCUAGUCGUCCGCACCAAACAGGUAACGUUCUUUUAAGAUCUGCCAGGAAUUCGCUUUCUUGAUGCCUUUUCUGGUUUUCGUGAAGCUUCGAGUGUUUUUCGAUUUCUCUUCUAUGUCGUGUUGUGUCGAUUAGCAUAAGGAAAGUAUGUGGAGCGUGGUAUAUUUAGUCUCAAUUCUCAUUUUACAUUUAGAAGGCUCAAAACUGUAUUCCUUAAGAUAUUGAAGGUAUUUUUUUUAAUUUCACUUUCAUCUCAAUGCAAGUUGUCAUCAUUCUUUUGAGGUAUGCAUUCUGUUUUGCUUCCUAAAAGAAUAAUGUAUCUUCUAGAAUAUUUUAAUUAGGGGCUUAAUUAAACCAUUCUUUGUGCAGGCAUUCAAAGAUCAUCUUACUAUUU